CCUACGGGUGGCAGCAGUGAGGAAUAUUGGUCAAUGGGCGGAAGCCUGAACCAGCCAAGUAGCGUGCAGGAUGACGGCCCUAUGGGUUGUAAACUUCUUUUAUAUGGGAAUAAAAUGUUCCACGUGUGGGGUUUUGUAUGUACCAUAUGAAUAAGGAUCGGCUAACUCCGUGCCAGCAGCCGCGGUAAUACGGAGGAUCCGAGCGUUAUCCGGAUUUAUUGGGUUUAAAGGGAGCGUAGGUGGAUUGUUAAGUCAGUUGUGAAAGUUUGCGGCUCAACCGUAAAAUUGCAGUUGAAACUGGCAGUCUUGAGUACAGUAGAGGUGGGCGGAAUUCGUGGUGUAGCGGUGAAAUGCUUAGAUAUCACGAAGAACUCCGAUUGCGAAGGCAGCUCACUGGACUGCAACUGACACUGAGGCUCGAAAGUGUGGGUAGCAAACAGGAUUAGAUACCCUAGUAGUC
rnacentral:rRNA from 1 species